UAUGGUCGACCUGCAGGCGGCCGCGAAUUCACUAGUGAUUCGUAUUACCGCGGCUGCUGGCACGGAGUUAGCCGGAGCUUAUUCUCCCGGUACUGUCAUUAUCAUCCCGGGUAAAAGAGCUUUACAACCCUAAGGCCUUCAUCACUCACGCGGCAUUGCUGGAUCAGGCUUUCGCCCAUUGUCCAAUAUUCCCCACUGCUGCCUCCCGUAGGAGUCUGGGCCGUGUCUCAGUCCCAGUGUGGCUGAUCAUCCUCUCAGACCAGCUAAGGAUCGUCGCCUUGGUGCGCCUUUACCACACCAACUAGCUAAUCCUACGCGGGCUCAUCCUCAGGCGAUAAAUCUUUGAUCUCGCGAUAUCAUCCGGUAUUAGCAGCAAUUUCUCGCUGUUAUUCCGAACCUGAGGGCAGAUUCCCACGCGUUACGCACCCGUGCGCCACUAAGGCCGAAGCCUUCGUUCGACUUGCAUGUGUUAGGCAUGCCGCCAGCGUUCAUUCUGAGCCAUGAUCAAACUCUAAUCGAAUUCCCGCGGCCG
rnacentral:rRNA from 1 species